rnacentral:rRNA from 1 species
UACGUAGGGGGCAAGCGUUGUCCGGAUUUAUUGGGCGUAAAGCGCUCGCAGGUGGUUCGUCGCGUCGUGCGUGAAAGACCCCGGCUCAAUUGGGGGAGGUCGUGCGAUACGGGCGAACUGGAGGCCAGUAGGGGGAUGCGGAAUUCCGGGUGUAGUGGUGGAAUGCGUAGAGAUCCGGAGGAACACCAGCGGCGAAGGCGGCAUCCUGGACUGGUCCUGACACUCAUGAGCGAAAGCGUGGGGAGCGAUCCGG